rnacentral:rRNA from 1 species
GACGAACGCUGGCGGCGUGCUUAACACAUGCAAGUCCAACGGAAAGGCCCUGCUUUUGUGGGGUGCUCCAGUGGCCAACGGGUGAGUAACACCUGAGUAACCUGCCCUUGACUUUGGGAUAACUUCCGGAAACUGGGGCUAAUACCGGAUAGGAGCUCCUGCUGCAUGGUGGGGGUUGGAAAGUUUCGGCGGUUGGGGAUGGACUCGCGGCUUAUCAGCUUGUUGGUGGGGUAGUGGCUUACCAAGGCUUUGACGGGUAGCCGGCCUGAGAGGGUGACCGGCCACAUUGGGACUGAGAUACGGCCCAGACUCCUACGGGAGGCAGCAGUGGGGAAUAUUGCACAAUGGGCGGAAGCCUGAUGCAGCAACGCCGCGUGCGGGAUGACGGCCUUCGGGUUGUAAACCGCUUUCGCCUGUGACGAAGCGUGAGUGACGGUAAUGAGUAAAGAAGCACCGGCUAACUACGUGCCAGCAGCCGCGGUGAUACGUAGGGUGCGAGCGUUGUCCGGAUUUAUUGGGCGUAAAGGGCUCGUAGGUGGUUGAUCGCGUCGGAAGUGUAAUCUUGGGGCUUAACCCUGAGCGUGCUUUCGAUACGGGUUGACUUGAGGAAGGUAGGGGAGAAUGGAAUUCCUGGUGGAGCGGUGGAAUGCGCAGAUAUCAGGAGGAACACCAGUGGCGAAGGCGGUUCUCUGGGCCUUUCCUGACGCUGAGGAGCGAAAGCGUGGGGAGCGAACAGGCUUAGAUACCCUGGUAGUCCACGCUGUAAACGGUGGGUACUAGGUGUGGGGUCCAUUCCACGGGUUCCGUGCCGUAGCUAACGCUUUAAGUACCCCGCCUGGGGAGUACGGCCGCAAGGCUAAAACUCAAAGGAAUUGACGGGGCCCCGCACAAGCGGCGGAGCAUGCGGAUUAAUUCGAUGCAACGCGUAGAACCUUACCUGGGUUUGACAUGGAUCGGGAGUGCUCAGAGAUGGGUGUGCCUCUUUUGGGGUCGGUUCACAGGUGGUGCAUGGCUGUCGUCAGCUCGUGUCGUGAGAUGUUGGGUUAAGUCCCGCAACGAGCGCAACCCUUGUUCACUGUUGCCAGCACGUUAUGGUGGGGACUCAGUGGAGACCGCCGGGGUCAACUCGGAGGAAGGUGGGGAUGACGUCAAGUCAUCAUGCCCCUUAUGUCCAGGGCUUCACGCAUGCUACAAUGGCUGGUACAGAGAGUGGCGAGCCUGUGAGGGUGAGCGAAUCUCGGAAAGCCGGUCUCAGUUCGGAUUGGGGUCUGCAACUCGACCUCAUGAAGUCGGAGUCGCUAGUAAUCGCAGAUCAGCAACGCUGCGGUGAAUACGUUUCCGGGGCU